rnacentral:rRNA from 1 species
GCCUGAUGCAGCCAUGCCGCGUGUAUGAAGAAGGCCUUCGGGUUGUAAAGUACUUUCAGUUGUGAGGAAGGGGGUGUUGUUAAUAGCAACAUCUCUUGACGUUAGCAACAGAAGAAGCACCGGCUAACUCCGUGCCAGCAGCCGCGGUAAU